rnacentral:rRNA from 1 species
GAUGAACGCUAGCUACAGGCUUAACACAUGCAAGUCGCGGGGCAGCAUGGGGGUUGCUUGCAAUCCCCGAUGGCGACCGGCGCACGGGUGAGUAACGCGUAUCCAACCUGCCCUUCACCACGGGAUAACCCGGCGAAAGUCGGACUAAUACCGUAUGUUGUCCAUUGACGGCAUCCGAUUAGGACGAAAGGGUUGGCGGUGGAGGAUGGGGAUGCGUCCGAUUAGCUGGACGGCGGGGUGACGGCCCACCGUGGCGACGAUCGGUAGGGGUUCUGAGAGGAAGGUCCCCCACACUGGAACUGAGACACGGUCCAGACUCCUACGGGAGGCAGCAGUGAGGAAUAUUGGUCAAUGGGCGUAAGCCUGAACCAGCCAAGUAGCGUGCAGGAUGACGGCCCUAUGGGUUGUAAACUGCUUUUAUGCGGGGAUAAAGUGGCCCACGUGUGGGUUUUUGCAGGUACCGCAUGAAUAAGGACCGGCUAAUUCCGUG